GAUGAACGCUAGCGGCAGGCCUAAUGCAUGCAAGUCGAACGGGAUCCAGAUCAAAGCUUGCUUUGGUUUGGUGAGAGUGGCGCACGGGUGCGUAACGCGUGAGCAACCUACCCUUGUCAGGGGGAUAGCCCGGCGAAAGUCGGAUUAAUACCGCAUGACAUCAUUGAGAGGCAUCUUUCGAUGAUCAAAGAUUUAUCGGACAAGGAUGGGCUCGCGUGACAUUAGCUAGUUGGUAAGGUAACGGCUUACCAAGGCUACGAUGUCUAGGGGCUCUGAGAGGAGAAUCCCCCACACUGGUACUGAGACACGGACCAGACUCCUACGGGAGGCAGCAGUAAGGAAUAUUGGUCAAUGGACGGAAGUCUGAACCAGCCAUGCCGCGUGCAGGAAGACGGCCCUAUGGGUUGUAAACUGCUUUUAUACGGGAACAAACGUCGGUACGUGUACCGGUCUGAGUGUACCGUAAGAAUAAGGAUCGGCUAACUCCGUG
rnacentral:rRNA from 1 species